rnacentral:rRNA from 1 species
GGAAACGGUAUUUCCCUUCGGGGCAAAUUACAAGGUGCUGCAUGGUUGUCGUCAGCUCGUGCCGUGAGGUGUCGGGUUAAGUCCCAUAACGAGCGCAACCCUCAUCCUUAGUUGCCAGCGGAUAAUGCCGGGGACUCUAAGGAGACUGCCAGUGUAAACUGUGAGGAAGGUGGGGAUGACGUCAAAUCAGCACGGCCCUUAUGUCCAGGGCUACACACGUGUUACAAUGGCCGAUACAAUGGGCAGCUACCCCGCGAGGGGAUGCUAAUCUCUAAAGUCGGUCUCAGUUCGGAUCGAAGUCUGCAACUCGACUUCGUGAAGUUGGAUUCGCUAGUAAUCGCGCAUCAGCCAUGGCGCGGUGAAUACGUUCCCGGGCCUUGUACACACCGCCCGUCAAACCAUGGAAGCUGGGGGUACCUGAAGUCUGUUACCGCAAGGAACGGCCUAGGGUAAAACUAGUGACUGGGGUUAAGUCGUAACAAGGUAGCCGUACCGGAAGG